GCUGCAUGCUUUAUACAUGCAAGUCGAACGGAGGCCCUAGCUUGCUAGGUGUCCUUAGUGGCGCACGGGUGAGUAACACGUGGGAACAUACCUCAUAGUACGGAAUAACUGCGGGAAACUGUAGCUAAUACCGUAUAUUCCAGUAAUGGGAAAGAUUUAUCGCUAUGAGAUUGGCCCGCGCAAGAUUAGCUUGUUGGUGAGGUAAUGGCUCACCAAGGCUCCGAUCUUUAGCUGGUUUGAGAGGACGAUCAGCCACACUGGGACUGAGACACGGCCCAGACUCCUACGGGAGGCAGCAGUAGGGAAUAUUGGACAAUGGGGGAAACCCUGAUCCAGCAAUGCAGCGUGAGUGACGAAGGCCUUAGGGUUGUAAAACUCUUUCAUCGGUGAGGAUAAUGACAGUAGCCGAAGAAGAAGGACCGGCUAAUUC
rnacentral:rRNA from 1 species